rnacentral:snRNA from 1 species
CGCCCUCGACCUAUUCUCAA